AGAGUUUGAUCCUGGCUUAGAACUAACGCUGGCAGUGCGUCUUAAGCAUGCAAGUCAAACGGGAUGUAGUAAUACAUUCAGUGGCGAACGGGUGAGUAACGCGUGGAUGAUCUACCUACGAGAUGGGGAUAACUAUUAGAAAUAGUAGCUAAUACCGAAUAAGGUCAAUUAAUUUGUUAAGUGAUGAAAGGAAGCCUUUAAAGCUUCGCUUGUAGAUGAGUCUGCGUCUUAUUAGCUAGUUGGUAGGGUAAAUGCCUACCAAGGCGAUGAUAAGUAACCGGCCUGAGAGGGUGAACGGUCACACUGGAACUGAGAUACGGUCCAGACUCCUACGGGAGGCAGCAGCUAAGAAUCUUCCGCAAUGGGCGAAAGCCUGACGGAGCGACACUGCGUGAAUGAAGAAGGUCGAAAGAUUGUAAAAUUCUUUUAUAAAUGAGGAAUAAGCUUUGUAGGAAAUGACAGAGUGAUGACGUUAAUUUAUGAAUAAGCCCCGGCUAAUUACGUGCCAGCAGCCGCGGU
rnacentral:rRNA from 1 species